UAGGACUGGGGAGAUGGUUCAGUGGCUAGGGAGACAGACUAUCUACCUUUCCAGAGGACCCAGUUUCUGUUCCCAACAGCCACGCUUGCAACUCUCUGUAAUACCAGUUCCAGGGACCAGAUGUCCUUUUCCAGUUUCUAUGGGCACCAGGUACACACAUGGCACACACACACAUACAGGCCAGAUACUCCUGCACGUCAAAUAAAAUAAUUAAAGCGGUGCUUACUAUGUGUCCUUGACUCUGCCCAGCCUUUCGUUUCUUCCUUUUAUAGCCAAGAUAAAAAGCCUUAGAUUGCUAUGCUAAUUUAUCCGUUAUAUGACUGGAAAUGUUUUCCACUGGUAUAAUCAUCUAGUUUCUGUUUUCAUUCCCUCUACAGGACUGAAAGAUCUCAUUUGAUCAGGAUUCAGUACUACGUGUAUAUUCUAACCUGCUUUACCUGAUCUACAGAAUUAGAUUCAAAGUACGUCAGAUAGCACCAUCCUUUUUUGGUGAACAGCUUUGGGACUGGAUCUCCGGGUUGUAUGUGCUCCAGUCUUUAAAUAGAAUACCAGAGAGCAGAGGUCACCUUGCCCAUCACCACAGAUGCCAAUGAGCACAAACAGGAAGUGAUUCUUCAGUGUGCGCUUUAUCACCAUGAAGGCAGCAGAUUAAUAUCCUAGAGAUACAGCGUAUACCUCAUUUGGUCAGCAGAUUAUCUGAGGAACUGAAACAAAGGCAGUUAGCCAUUCUGAGCUGGGCUUGCAUAUCCCCAAGGCUGCUGAACCCUGCAUUUCUCUUCAGCAUUAUCUGGGCAAAGGGUUAACGAAGAAGAAAGCAGCAGCAACAUGUAGGUAUGUAUGUGCAGAUUCCCUUUUACAACAUGAAAUAUAGACAAAAUAGAAUAUGAAACUGUGGGUGUUACUACAACCUUGCCAUCUCCCCCACUCUCAGAGGGUUUUCCCUUCAUGUUUCUUAAUCAAUCUAAUGUCAUUCUACUAAAAAACAAAACAAAAACAAAAAAAAAACUAAUUUCCCUCCCCAUCCCUCGUCUCCCUUUCUUUUCCCACUAUUAGUAAAUAACUCCUAUCUGUAAGAUCCAUAGCAUAUAAACAAUGACAUCCUGCUGCUAUGUGUUUGGUUGAUUGAUAGUAUGGCUUCUUACCAGUAAGGGAGUUUUUUUGGCACAAAGCUGUAUACAUUGGAGCACACCAAUAUGUAACAGCCAAAAGUUAAGCUGAGAGGGUUUUGUUUGUUUGUUUUGAAAGACCCCCGACGUGGGUAGUCAAUCAAUCUGAGGAGACCC